CCCGUGACUACCUAACACUGUUGCUUCGGCGGGGAGCCCUCUCGGGGGCGAGCCGCCGGGGACUACUGAACUUCAUGCCUGAGAGUGAUGCAGUCUGAGUCUGAAUAUAAAAUCAGUCAAAACUUUCAACAAUGGAUCUCUUGGUUCCGGCAUCGAUGAAGAACGCAGCGAACUGCGAUAAGUAAUGUGAAUUGCAGAAUUCAGUGAAUCAUCGAGUCUUUGAACGCACAUUGCGCCCCCUGGCAUUCCGGGGGGCAUGCCUGUCCGAGCGUCAUUGCUGCCCAUCAAGCCCGGCUUGUGUGUUGGGUCGUCGUCCCCCCCGGGGGACGGGCCCGAAAGGCAGCGGCGGCACCGUGUCCGGUCCUCGAGCGUAUGGGGCUUUGUCACCCGCUCGAUUUAGGGCCGGCCGGGCGCCAGCCGACGUCCAACCAUUUUUCUUCAGGUUGACCUCGGAUCAGGUAGGG
rnacentral:misc_RNA from 1 species